rnacentral:rRNA from 1 species
UGCAAGUCGAACGAUGAACCACUUCGGUGGGGAUUAGUGGCGAACGGGUGAGUAACACGUGGGCAAUCUGCCCUUCACUCUGGGACAAGCCCUGGAAACGGGGUCUAAUACCGGAUAUGAGCCUGGGAGGCAUCUCCUGGGUUGUAAAGCUCCGGCGGUGAAGGAUGAGCCCGCGGCCUAUCAGCUUGUUGGUGAGGUAAUGGCUCACCAAGGCGACGACGGGUAGCCGGCCUGAGAGGGCGACCGGCCACACUGGGACUGAGACACGGCCCACACUCCUACGGGAGGCAGCAGUGGGGAAUAUUGCACAAUGGGCGAAAGCCUGAUGCACCGACGCCGCGUGAGGGAUGACGGCCUUCGGGUUGUAAACCUCUUUCAGCAGGGAAAAAGCGAAAGUGACGGUACCUGCAGAAGAAGCGCCGGCUAACUACGUGCCAGCAGCCGCGGUAAUACGUAGGGCGCAAGCGUUGUCCGGAAUUAUUGGGCGUAAAGAGCUCGUAGGCGGCUUGUCACGUCGAUUGUGAAAGCCCGAGGCUUAACCUCGGGUCUGCAGUCGAUACGGGCUAGCUAGAGUGUGGUAGGGGAGAUCGGAAUUCCUGGUGUAGCGGUGAAAUGCGCACAUAUCAAGAGGAACACCGGUGGCGAAGGCGGAUCUCUGGGCCAUUACUGACGCUGAGGAGCGAAAGCGUGGGGAGCGAACAUGAUUAGAUACCCUGGUAGUCCACGCCGUAAACGGUGGGAACUAGGUGUUGGCGACAUUCCACGUCGUCGGUGCCGCAGCUAACGCAUUAAGUUCCCCGCCUGGGGAGUACGGCCGCAAGGCUAAACUCAAGGAAUUGACGGGGGCCCGCACAAGCGGCGGAGCAUGUGGCUUAAUUCGACGC